rnacentral:rRNA from 1 species
CGUAGGACCCAAGCGUUAUCCGGAAUCACUGGGCGUAAAGCGUGUGUAGGCGGGAGUUUAAGUGUAAUGCGAAAUCUGGUGGCUCAACCAUCUAGACUGUAUUGCAUACUGGACACCUGGAGGUCGGCAGAGGCAAGUGGAAUUGGUAGUGUAGCAGUGAAAUGCGUAGAUAUUACCAGGAACACCAAUGGCGAAGGCAGCUUGCUGGGCCGAAUCUGACGCUGAGACACGAAAGCGUGGGGAGCGAACAGGAUUAGAUACCCUGGUAGUCCACGCCGUAAACGAUGCAUGCUAUUAGUUUGAGGUAUCGACCCCUUGGGCUGAGAGGCUAACGCGAUAAGCAUGCCGCCUGGGGAGUACGAGCGCAAGCUUA